rnacentral:rRNA from 1 species
GAUGAACGCUGGCGGCGUGCUUAACACAUGCAAGUCGAACGGAAAGGCCCAAGCUUGCUUGGGUACUCGAGUGGCGAACGGGUGAGUAACACGUGGGUGAUCUGCCCUGCACUUCGGGAUAAUCCUGGGAAACUGGGUCUAAUACCGGAUAGGACCACAUUUUGGAUGGUGUGGUGGAAAGUUUUUCGGUGUGGGAUGAGCUCGCGGCCUAUCAGCUUGUUGGUGGGGUAAUGGCCUACCAAGGCGUCGACGGGUAGCCGGCCUGAGAGGGUGUACGGCCACAUUGGGACUGAGAUACGGCCCAGACUCCUACGGGAGGCAGCAGUGGGGAAUAUUGCACAAUGGGCGCGAGCCUGAUGCAGCGACGCCGCGUGGGGGAUGACGGCCUUCGGGUUGUAAACUCCUUUCGCUAGGGACGAAGCGUUAUGUGACGGUACCUGGAGAAGAAGCACCGGCUAACUACGUG